AUGAACGCUAGCGACAGGCCUAACACAUGCAAGUCAGGGGCAGCACAAGGAGCAAUCUGAGGUGGCGACCGGCGCACGGGUGAGUAACACGUAUGCAACCUGCCUGUAAGCGGGGAAUAACCCGUUGAAAGACGGACUAAUACCGCAUAAUACUAAAUUACUGCAUGGUAAUUUAUUUAAACAUUUAUGGCUUACAGAUGGGCAUGCGCAUGAUUAGCUAGUUGGAGAGGUAACGGCUCCCCAAGGCAACGAUCAUUAGGGGUUCUGAGAGGAAGGUCCCCCGCACUGGUACUGAGACACGGACCAGACUCCUACGGGAGGCAGCAGUGAGGAAUAUUGGUCAAUGGACGAGAGUCUGAACCAGCCAAGUCGCGUGCAGGAAGAAUGUCCUAUGGAUUGUAAACUGCUUUUGCAGGGGAAUAAAGUGCAUCACGUGUGAUGUUUUGUAUGUACUCUGCGAAUAAGGAUCGGCUAACUCCGUGCCAGCAGCUGC
rnacentral:rRNA from 1 species